AUACGGAGGAUCCGAGCGUUAUCCGGAUUUAUUGGGUUUAAAGGGAGCGUAGGUGGACAGUUAAGUCAGUUGUGAAAGUUUGCGGCUCAACCGUAAAAUUGCAGUUGAUACUGGCUGUCUUGAGUACAGUAGAGGUGGGCGGAAUUCGUGGUGUAGCGGUGAAAUGCUUAGAUAUCACGAAGAACUCCGAUUGCGAAGGCAGCUCACUGGAAUGCAACUGACACUGAUGCUCGAAAGUGUGGGUAUCAAACAGGAUUAGAUACCCUGGUAGUCCACACAGUAAACGAUGAAUACUCGCUGUUUGCGAUAUACAGUAAGCGGCCAAGCGAAAGCAUUAAGUAUUCCACCUGGGGAGUACGCCGGCAACGGUGAAACUCAAAUGAAUUGACGGGG
rnacentral:rRNA from 1 species